UACGGGAGUGGCAAGCGUUAUCCGGAAUUAUUGGGCGUAAAGCGUCCGCAGGCGGUCUGUCAAGUCUGCUGUUAAAGCGUGGAGCUUAACUCCAUUAAGGCAGUGGAAACUGACAGACUAGAGUGUGGUAGAGGCAGAGGGAAUUCCCGGUGUAGCGGUGAAAUGCGUAGAUAUCGGGAAGAACACCAGUGGCGAAGGCGCUCUGCUGGGCCAUAACUGACGCUCAUGGACGAAAGCCAGGGGAGCGAAAGGGAUUAGAUACCCCUGUAGUCCUGGCCGUAAACGAUGAACACUAGGUGUCGGGGGAAUCGACCCCCUCGGUGUCGUAGCCAACGCGUUAAGUGUUCCGCCUGGGGAGUACGCACGCAAGUGUGAAACUCAAAGGAAUUGACGGGGGCCCGCACAAGCGGUGGAGUAUGUGGUUUAAUUCGAUGCAACGCGAAGAACCUUACCAGGGUUUGACAUCCUGCGAAUCUCUUGGAAACAAGAGAGUGCCUUCGGGAACGCAGUGACAGGUGGUGCAUGGCUGUCGUCAGCUCGUGUCGUGAGAUGUUGGGUUAAGUCCCGCAACGAGCGCAACCCACGUCGUUAGUUGCCAGCAUUUAGUUGGGCACUCUAGCGAGACCGCCGGUGAUAAACCGGAGGAAGGUGUGGAUGACGUCAAGUCAUCAUGCCCCUUACAUCCUGGGCUACACACGUACUACAAUGCUACGGACAAAGGGCAGCAAACUCGCGAGAGCUAGCAAAUCCCAUAAACCGUGGCUCAGUUCAGAUCGUAGGCUGCAACUCGCCUACGUGAAGGAGGAAUCGCUAGUAAUCGCAGGUCAGCAUACUGCGGUGAAUACGUUCCCGGGCCU
rnacentral:rRNA from 1 species